rnacentral:sRNA from 1 species
UAGACAACAAGUUCAUUAACCAAAUCUAAGUGCCACCGCAACAGAGACUCUCAAGUUAACCUAGUCCCAGACUCAAUCACCAUUGACGAGAGCUAACCUAACAGGCAUUACGAAUCAACAAGUUAAAGCCAAAACGCUCUUUGCAACCAAUACCUUGGUACAGGGUCACGAGUCUCUGGAAUUAGUGGUUCAGACAUUUCAUCGAACACCUUUUGAGCGCGGAAAUGUCUGGGCUCAAAUUUUAGUUGAUCAGAAAGCAAUAGGCAUUAAGAACAACUAAUUCAGAAGGGAUCUAUCAAC